AAUAACUGCGUUACUUUUCGAUUAAAUUUUUAUUAGUGAUAUAAUUCAAGAUCAAAUAUCAACUAAGCUAUAAGAAAAAUGCAAGAGCAAAAUCGCUUUUCCGUUGUCAUAUUUUUAGUGGUGAUACUCUCUAUUCUUCAUUCAAGCAAGGCACUGAAGUGUUAUGGUACGGCUGACGAUGGAUCAGGUGUGGAGAUGGAGUGUCCGCCGGAUUACCCUUUAUGUAUCACAUUUUCAGCCGAUUUUGUUGGCAAGGAUAUACGUGGAUGCGGCAUUGAAAACUUCUGUGACAUUAAUAAGGACGUGGUCACAGAAUGUUAUGAAUGCAAGACAGAUCUGUGCAAUACACUCUAAACUCUCUUAGAGUAAAAAAUCACUCGAAGGAUUGAACUAGCUCAAUUGUCACUCUUUAGGAAUAAAUUUUCACUCUACACGAGUAAAUUUUUACUUUUAUUAGAGUGAAAAGUUACUCGAAAAUUGCACUGGCUCAAUUCUCACUGUCUUAAAGUGACUUUUCUCUCUAAGAAGUUGGGAGUGUAAAUAAUACAUCCUAUAAGAAUACGAUAUCAACUAUCACAAUAGUAACCUCAGGAUUUAUUAUUCUGUUUUGAUCAGUUCAAUAAUUCUUAUAAUUUUCUUAUAGUUAUUUAAUCUUGUAAUUUGUAAUAUCACGGUCUUGUUAAGAGAAGCUUAUCUCUAGAACACACCAUAUCGGUGGAACAAAAUUUUGCUUCUGUAACGUUUAAUCUGUCAAUGAGCAAUUUUGGUCAAUCAUAGCGGUUAUUGGUUUUUACUUCAAACUUUUUUCUCCACUUCUAUCCUGAAUCUUUUUUCGCAUUCCGCCUUCACACAAUAAGCAAUUGAAAUUUUAUAGGAAGUCUUAUAAUGUGUUCUAAAGUUAAUAUUAUUAUUAAUUAAAACGUCUAUUUCUAUUUUUAUAAUUAACAAUUUUUUAAUUGUACAAUAUUGUAAUCUGUAUUAAUUAUUGUAUUGUAUGUUACGCAAAAAGACAUAUUAAAGAAUUUUAUUAAUCUUGUUGCAUGCAAUGUGGUUUUUGCUUUUGUAUAUACAAUAAAUAAACAUUGAACCCAUAUUUAGAUUGAUAUUCAUGAAAUAUAUUUAUUUCAUCAAAAACAUGUAAUAAAUAUAUAAAUAAAUUUUAACUAAUAUUAGCACACACACACACACAUACACACACACACACACACACACACACACACACACACACACAGCUUUAUCGCAAAUAUAAACGUUAUGUAAAAAUCUCCGUGGAAAAUAUUCCGAUUUCUCAUGUCGAUAAAAUACAUUCAUUUUGUUUAUCAACUUAGAAGUAUUUAGAGGUAGCUUCUGUAUUAAAAUGUAUGCAAAGUAAAUUAAAUUUAACAUGAUCUUUUCAUCAAAUUUGCUUGAUAUUUUUUAAUGUUUUUUUUAUUAAAAAAUUAAAACUUCUAAUGUUUAUAUUGCGAUAAUUUUCUUAAACUUAUAUAAUUAUAAACUCAUAUAAUUAUAAGAAAAAUUUAUUUGAAAUAAUUAUUUAAAUAAAUAUAAAUUUUAUUAGUUAUGUUAUGCAUAUACAGAAUUGAUAAUAUCAUGUUAGUAUAUUAUUUUAUGUACUAACAUUUUCUAUAAAAUGUUAAGUAUAUGAUAAGGUAAUCAAUUUUUGUAUUUUCAUGUAUUAUAAUUGUUAUAUUUUAUUUAUUAGUUUGUUAAAAAUCUAUCUUUGUUAAGAAAAUAAUUUUACUAUUUGAAGUAAUUUUUACAUCUUGAUCUUGUUAUAAAGGCAUCCACAACAAAAAUAUGCUUGUAUUUCACAAUCUAAUCUUUAAUCUAAUUAUCGGUAACUUAUCAAUGAUUAGAAUUUUGAAAGUUUGUCACAGGUAUAUAUAGACCCCGCAAUAAUAACUGCGUUAUUUUUCGAUUGAUUUUUUAUUAGUGAAUAUAGAAUUCAAGAUCAGAUAUCAACCAAGCUACAAGAAAAAUGCAAGGACAAAAUCGCUUUUCCGGUAUCAUAUUUUUGGUGAUCAUACUUGCUAUUCUUCAUUCAAGCAAGGCACUGAUUUGUUAUGGUACGCAAAUGGAUGGAUCAACCGCGGAGAUCGAGUGUCCGUCGCAUUUCCCUUUAUGUGUCAAAUUUUCAAGCAGUCAGUAUCUAA